rnacentral:rRNA from 1 species
GUACCGAUCUAUAGUGCGAGUGGUGGGGACGGAGAAGGUUAGCUCAGCCAACUGUUGGAAUAGUUGGUUCAAGCCUGUAGUCGUGCCCGGUAGGCAAAUCCGCCGGGCUUAGAUGAGGGGUGAUAACGAGUCUGCUUGCAGACGAAGUGAGUGAUACCCUGCUUCCAGGAAAAGCCACUAAGCUUCAGCUAUAGACGACCGUACCGCAAACCGACACUGGUGCGCGUGAUGAGUAUUCUCAGGCGCUUGAGAGAACUCUGGAGAAGGAACUCGGCAAAUUGACACCGUAACUUCGGAAGAAGGUGUGCCUUUAGUAGGUGAACCAUUUUCUUGGGGAGCCCAAUGAGGUCGCAGAGAAUCGGUGGCUGCAACUGUUUAAUAAAAACACAGCACUCUGCAAACGACGAAAGU